rnacentral:tRNA from 1 species
GCCUGGGUGGCUUAGCCGGUUGAGCGUCCGACUUCAGCUCGGGUCAUGAUCUCGGGGUUUGUGGGUUCGAGCCCCGUGUCAGGCU